GAUGAAGAACGCAGCGAAAUGCGAUAAGUAAUGUGAAUUGCAGAAUUCAGUGAAUCAUCGAGUCUUUGAACGCACAUUGCGCCCCCUGGUAUUCCGGGGGGCAUACCUGUCCGAGCGUCAUUGCUGCCCUCAAGCACGGCUUGUGUGUUGGGCCCCCGCCCCCCGGCUUCGGGGGGCGGGCCCGAAAGGCAGCGGCGGCACCGCGUCCGGUCCUCGAGCGUAUGGGGCUUCGUCACCCGCUCUGUAGGCCCGGCCGGCGCCCGCCGGCGACCCCAAUCAAUCUUUCCAGGUUGACCUCGGAUCAGGUAGGGAUACCCGCUGAACUUAAGCAUAUCAAUAAGCGGAGGA
rnacentral:misc_RNA from 1 species